GACGAACGCUGGCGGCGUGCUUAACACAUGCAAGUCGAACGGAAAGGCCCUGCUUUUGUGGGGUGCUCGAGUGGCGAACGGGUGAGUAACACGUGAGUAACCUGCCCUUGACUUUGGGAUAACUUCAGGAAACUGGGGCUAAUACCGGAUAGGAGCUCCUGCUGCAUGGUGGGGGUUGGAAAGUUUCGGCGGUUGGGGAUGGACUCGCGGCUUAUCAGCUUGUUGGUGGGGUAGUGGCGUACCAAGGCUUUGACGGGUAGCCGGCCUGAGAGGGUGACCGGCCACAUUAGGACUGAGAUACGGCCCAGACACCUACAGGAGGCAGCAGUGGGGAAUAUUGCACAAUGGGCGGAAGCCUGAUGCAGCAACGCCGCGUGCGGGAUGACGGCCUUCGGGUUGUAAACCGCUUUCGCCUGUGACGAAGCGUGAGUGACGGUAAUGAGUAAAGAAGCACCGGCUAACUACGUG
rnacentral:rRNA from 1 species